AGCGGACGCUGGCGGCAGGCCUAACACAUGCAAGUCGAACGAAGUCUUCGGACUUAGUGGCGGACGGGUGAGUAACACGUGGGAACGUGCCUUUAGGUUCGGAAUAACUCAGGGAAACUUGUUCUAAUACCGAAUGUGCCCUUCGGGGGAAAGAUUUAUCGCCUUUAGAGCGGCCCGCGUCUGAUUAGCUAGUUGGUGAGGUAAAGGCUCACCAAGGCGACGAUCAGUAGCUGGUCUGAGAGGAUGAUCAGCCACAUUGGGACUGAGACACGGCCCAAACUCCUACGGGAGGCAGCAGUGGGGAAUCUUGCGCAAUGGGCGAAAGCCUGACGCAGCCAUGCCGCGUGAAUGAUGAAGGUCUUAGGAUUGUAAAAUUCUUUCACCGGGGACGAUAGUGACGGUACCCGGAGAAGAAGCCCCGGCUAACUUCGUGCCAGCCGCCGCAGUAAAAC
rnacentral:rRNA from 1 species